ACUGCUCAGUAACACGUGGACAACCUGCCCUUAGGUUGGGUAUAAACCCGGGAAACUGGGUAUAAUCCCCUAUAAGUCUCGGCUGCUGGAAUGCACCGAGAUUAAAAGCUCCGGCGCCUAAGGAUGGGUCUGCGGCCUAUCAGGUAGUAGUGGGUGUAGCGUACCUACUAGCCUACGACGGGUACGGGUUGUGAGAGCAAGAGCCCGGAGAUGGAUUCUGAGACACGAAUCCAGGCCCUACGGGGUGCAGCAGGCGCGAAAACUUUACAAUGCUGGCAACAGCGAUAAGGGAACCUCGAGUGCCAGGUUACAAAUCUGGCUGUCGAGAUGCCUAAAAAGCAUUUCAUAGCAAGGGCCGGGCAAGACCGGUGCCAGCCGCCGCGGUAACACCGGCGGCUCGAGUGGUAACCGUUAUUAUUGGGUCUAAAGGGUCUGUAGCCGGCCGGAUAAGUCUCUUGAGAAAUCUGGCAGCUUAACUGUCAGGCUUUCAGGAGAUACUGUCUGGCUCGAGGCCGGGAGAGGUGAGAGGUACUUCAGGGGUAGGGGUGAAAUCUUGUAAUCCUUGAAGGACCACCAGUGGCGAAGGCGUCUCACCAGAACGGACCUGACGGCAAGGGACGAAAGCUAGGGGCACGAACCGGAUUAGAUACCCGGGUAGUCCUAGCCGUAAACGAUACUCGCUAGGUGUCGGCCACGGUGCGACCGUUGUCGGUGCCGUANGGAAGCCGUGAGGCGAGCCACCUGGGAAGUACGGCCGCAAGGCUGAAACUUAAAGGAAUUGGCGGGGGAGCAC
rnacentral:rRNA from 1 species